CCUAGCUGGAGCAAUCAGGCAAGAGAAAGAAAUAAAAAGAAUCCAAAUUGGAAAAGGGGAAGGGCCUGUGAUUUUGCAGUGGCUUGUAGCUGAACAAUCCAGAGCCAGGCUACCCUUGGUCACACCUGAUGUGGACCUGACUUUCCCUUGAAGGGCCUCUUUUAAAGAAAUUCCAAUUCUUUUAAUAACUUUCCUCAUCAGCAUCCUCUUUCC
rnacentral:lncRNA from 1 species